rnacentral:rRNA from 1 species
UACGAAGGGGGCUAGCGUUGCUCGGAAUCACUGGGCGUAAAGGGUGCGUAGGCGGGUCUUUUAAGUCAGGGGUGAAAUCCUGGAGCUCAACUCCAGAACUGCCUUUGAUACUGAGGAUCUUGAGUUCGGGAGAGGUGAGUGGAACUGCGAGUGUAGAGGUGAAAUUCGUAGAUAUUCGCAAGAACACCAGUGGCGAAGGCGGCGAUCUGGGAAGAUACUGACGCUGAGGUGCGAAAGCGUGGGGAGCAAACAGG